UACGGAGGGUGCAAGCGUUGCUCGGAAUUAUUGGGCGUAAAGGGCAGGUAGGUGGUCUUAUUUGUCCGGGGUGAAAUCCUUGAGCUUAACUCAAGAAGUGCCCCGGAGACGGUGAGACUAGAGUUUUGGAGAGGGUCGUGGAAUUCCCGGUGUAGCGGUGAAAUGCGUAGAUAUCAGGAGGAACACCAGCGGUGUAGACGGCUUUCUGGACCAUUGCUGACGCUGAGACACGAAAGCGUGGGUAGCAAACAGG
rnacentral:rRNA from 1 species